rnacentral:rRNA from 1 species
GAUGAACGCUGGCGGCGUGCCUAAUACAUGCAAGUCGAGCGAACAGACGAGGAGCUUGCUCGUCUGACGUUAGCGGCGGACGGGUGAUUAACACGUGGAUAACCUACUUAUCAGACUUGCAUAACUUGGGUAAACCGGAGCUAAUAACAGCGGAUAUAUUGAACCGCAUGGUUCAAUAGUUAAAGACGGUUUUGCUGUCACUUAUAGUUGGAUCCGCGCCGCUUUAGCUAGUUGGUAAGGUAACGGCUUACCAAGGCGACGAUGCGUAGCCGGCCUGAGAGGGUGAUCGGCCACACUGGAUGUGAGACACGGUCCAGACACAUACGGGAGGCAGCAGUAGGGAGGCUUCCGCAAUGGACGAGAGCCUGACGGAGCAACGGCGCGUGAGUGAUGAAGGUCUUCGGACCGUAAGACUCUGUUAUUCGGGAAGAACAAAUGUGUAAGUUUCUAGGCACGUCUGACCGGUACCUAGUCAGAAAGCCACGGCUAACUACGUG